AUUUCCAAUGCGGCGAAAGACCUAAAAGCCCCAUCUUCAGGUACUUCGCAAAAAUUCACGAAGUUUUACAGGGGAGGUAAGCGAUCCUUUCCGACAACACGACAAACUUUGUCGGAAAACAGACAACGCCCGAUCCGUCGUCCGGGGAACACAGAUCAGCGCAAGGGGCACCCCAAAAAGGAGUGGACGAGCCAACGGGACCGAUUUCAAAGGAGAACGUAAACAAGGUUCAUGAGCUGUCGAGACUAGGUGGUACCGAGGAAUAUAGUUUCGUAGCCAGAACAUUAGGGAGACUAAUAACCAACAAACUGGCUAGUGAGUUUAGUUAUCUGGGAAAGCGAACCAAAAAACCAUUUAACAAAUUAACAUUAAAUAAACUUGUAAUAGAAGCUGGGAUGCUACUAUUCAAAAACAGUUCCCAAGACAUUUUUGAGAAAGCAAUUUCAAAAUGGCUUAAAAGAGCAAAGGAAAGGAAAUGAAUUUUUUGUUACAUUGUUUUAUAUCUUGGACGUUUAGAUUUUGAA